rnacentral:rRNA from 1 species
UACGUAGGUGGCAAGCGUUGUCCGGAUUUAUUGGGUUUAAAGGGUGCGUAGGCGGCCCUGUAAGUCAGUGGUGAAAUACUCCAGCUUAACUGGAGGGGUGCCAUUGAUACUGCAGGGCUUGAGUGGAGUCGAAGUAGGCGGAAUUGACGGUGUAGCGGUGAAAUGCUUAGAUAUCGUCAAGAACACCGAUAGUGAAGACAGCUAACUAGACUUAUACUGACGCUGAGGCACGAAAGUGUGGGGAUCAAACAGG